ACAAAUUUGGUAGUGCGCACUUUCAAUUUCAAAUAUAUACUUUGGCUUAUUCCUAUUAUCCAACUAGCACACAUACCAUUUUCUAUUUUGUUUUAUUAUUUUAUUGAAUGGAUGCGCUUCUGAAUCACCAAAGGGAUCUUGGCAAAAUGGAGGAGGGGGUUGACCCCCCAUGACCUAAAGGUCAAGCGUUCAACCCCCAGCGUGCACACUUGUCCCAUUUUAUAUAUUUUUCCCUUUGUUUUGUUUAUUUUUCCACCAUAUUUAGUCUCCAUUUCAAAAUGAUUUUUUUACCACUUAUUUUUAUUCUAUUGAAAUUCUUCCCAACACAAACUCGUGUUAUUUUUCUCUCUACUAUUUUAUUAUGCUUUACUUUAUUUCAUUUGAUGAAACUUUUAUGGACUGGUGAGGUCUUGAACAUUGGUACCUAAUGAAGUGUAUUAGGUCAUGAUUUUGGUUUGAUUAGGGAUGUUUAAACCUUUUAUACUUCAAAUCUAUCAAUGAAUGAUCAAUGGAUCAUUCAUGAUACCUUGAGAUAUGGACAGGUUGCCUCUGCAUCAACCAACUUGGAUCAUUUGACAAAAAGAUGAAGCUUUAUUUGUGUACAUACUAACUUGUAAAGUUUCAUUUGAUUCAUUAUCUUUCUAUUGUUAUACUAACCCUCUAAAUAUUAUACUAUCUUGUAUAACCUAAUAAUUUAAUCAACAUAUUAACCUUUAACCCUUGAGUUGGUACUGUCUUCCUUUUGUCAAGCUAUUGAUAUAUGGGUUUGGGGUUUGUAUAACUUUCAUUGUUACAAAUAUAUUUUAAGUUGAUCAUUUGAUCAUCUUCAAUACUUUGCAUCAGUGAUAAGUUAUUCUUGAUGCACCAUAUUUUGAAUAUUUUGACCUAAGAAUAGAUGAUGCUCAAGCGUUAAACUUGUACAUACCACUAGUCAUACUUAACUUUACUAACUUUGGUUGCCACUAACCAUUGUUGUUAUCAUUGUUACUUUGUUAUUUACUUUUAUGUUGUCACAUUGUAAUUUACAUUCAAGUACUCAUCAUCAUCAUUGUAUAAACUCAUCAUGCAUGUUUAUUAUUGUCAUUUAUCUUUAUUGUUAUCAUACAUUAAAAACAAAACAAAAAACAUGAUAAAUUUUAAGACCAAAAAGAUUAAUUCCACAUGUAAUAAACUUGGACUUAGAGGAUAUCACAUAGGACAUUUUCUUGGAGGACCUUUCCUUACUUCGUGAUAUUUGGUUCUUAACUUUGGAUUUCAUCUGUAACUUACACACCGGUUAUAAGAAUGACAUCAUGACACUACCCUAGAGAGACAUGUUUGUAAGAACAUUGUCCUUUGUUAGCUUAGGUCACUCUUACAAUGAGACCCUUUACUUUCUUGUUUGGUUACUUUGUAUAUUCAUUACAUUACCUAAUUUCCUAAUCAAAUAAACAAACCAUUGAUUUAAUGUCAAGUGGAAUUUACAUAAUCAAAUUCAAAAUACAUAAAAUUACGGCUAGUAUUGUGCGCCACGGGCCUUAAGUGGUGGAGAAUGAGUAAGAAUGAAGCAUUCCUAUCCUUACUCUGAUUAUUUUGAACGCAAGAUGCUUGGAUUGUUGUCUAUAAUUUUCAUCUCCGUCCAUAGACUUUAGUGCAAUCUAAUCAAUAACCUUUUUUCAUAAACCCUUAUCAAAGUUAAAAUCAACACAACCCAUCAAACCUCAUUUUUGUGCCUUAGAGCACCACUCUGAAAACCUUUUUUUCAAUGGUAAAAUCAAUCAACACAAACAUUUUCUACUCCGAACUACGGAUCCCUGAUUCCUUAUCAUCCGAUGAGUGAUACGUAGGUACAAGGGCCACAAUCCUUGGCGAGCACAAUAAUUAAAAAACCCAGAGUCCUAUCAUUUUUAAACUCUUUAGAAAAUAAAACAAGAAUGAAUAGAUAAAUACCCACAUACGCAGACAACCCAAAUGGUUCCCAUGGAGUACCAUAGAUGUGAGGAGUGCUAAUACUUUCCCCUUUCGUAACAGACUUUCAAACCCAAGUCUCAGUUGCGAGACCAGUUAUUUAUCCUUGCACUUCCGCGUGUACCUUUUCCUUUUGUGAGUUUUAUCGACUAUUUUCCCUCCCCUCUCCCAUAGAGGAAAUCCAAAUAUUUUUCGGUGGAGACUCUUCUAAUCUUGCCUUUUCUAUCUCUUUGAUGAGGCAAUUCUUUUCUUCAGUCUGUCCAGUUUGCUCCUCCGAUUUUAAAACCCCGGGUACGACAGCUGGAGACUCUGCUGCGAAUACCAGUUUCCCUAAGCAAGUUUAGCCUAGUUUAGUUUGUCAUUCUUUUUGCGUAUGCGGGGAUUUAUCCGUUUAUUUUUUUCUGUCUAUAUAUUGCUUUUUGUUACUAACCUAUGUAUAUAUUUUUCUUCUUUGUUGGCCCGAAACUUUGGUUUUGUGGGGAAGGAAAAUGGUUACAAUAAUUAUUAUAAUAAAAACCUUGUGUGAAAGACUCUCCACCCGAGUCUGAGAGCUUACUUGAGGUAUAAUAGGUUGAGCACUAUGGGUCUCAGGGGAGAUUUCCUCGUGUAGGGUCGUAAGAGAACCUCACCUAGUUCUAGAUUCUCUUAAAGGUAUUGAUGACCGUAUAGAUUUCGGCGUAAGCAUCCUUAUCUUCAUUAGAGUCUGUGACCCUAAGACCGCCUUCUUAGAACAUUUAACCUUGGCAGGCCUAGACCGAUGAUCGUAUGGUAUAGGUCCCCGAGGAGUUUUCCUCGCGAGGGUCGAUACGAAGAUCUUACUUAGAGUAGAUUUCCUUGAUGGAGUUGUCGCCUGGCAAGUAAAUUGACAUAAGCAGUGGAGAGUCAAGGGAGUCCAUGACUCUAACGGCAGUGUCUUACACCCAAUAUCUCAAAAGCCCUAGAUCAUGCAAAGUGAGAAUCCUGAUUUGAAAAGCAUUCAUUAUUAAACCUCACACUUAGUCACGAUGGUCCCAUAUUUUGAACGUCGUGCCUAAAGUUCCAUGGAAACUAAUAAGAACCGUUCAUCCAUUCAUGCAUUCAUUCAUACAUAAUUAAUCAAUCAGUUAAGCUCGUAAGUAUUUCUUUUGUUUAAACGCAGAAUUGUAAGACUCUUUACUAACACAAUCAUGGAUCCCUCAAUAAGGAAAAUCACUUUCACAUUCAGAUACAAGAGUCUGAAUGUUGACAAUUUGAAGGUCCUUUGCUCUAGAGUAACGUCCCUCAAGGAUAACAAAUUCGGAGCUACCUUUGGCAACAUCAUAAACCUUUUGAACGAGAAGGGCGACUAUGGUGCAAUCACCACUUUAGCUCAAUAUUAUGACAUCCCUCUAAGAUGUUUCACCUUCCCUAACUUUCAAAUCUCCCUAACUCUGGAAGAUAUCCAGAGGCUUAUCAACCGACCGAUAAAGGAAUAUAACCCCUUCUCUGAAUUAGAAGAAGGAUUUUGCUUGUCCGAACUCUCCGACGUCUUGGGUAUCAACACCAAUGAACUAGUGGCCAGUUGGGGAUCUAAAGGUGUCAUCAAGGGUCUAACGCAUAAAUUCCUUGAAACCCAUGCUUGGAAGAUGAUUAAGGAAGAAAGGCCAGAUUUCUGUAGCGCAACAUUAACAUUUUUGAUUCAUGGAAUUGUCCUAUUCCCUAACAUAGACAAUUUCGUGGAUCAUUUGGCAGUGGAAGUCUUCCUGGCCAAUGACUCGGUGCCAUUCUUGCUCACCAACUUCUGUCAUGCCUUUCAUACAGGCAUGAGAAGAAAGGAGAUACCUUUCUCUAUUGCAAUCCCUUAUUGCACCUAUGGAUGAGUGCUCGUAUGCCUCAACAUGGACCCUUUUCUUAUAGAAACCUAUCAUGGCCCCAAAAGUUUGCAUCUCUUUCUUCCAAUUCAAUCAUCUGGUUUAAUAGAAAAUGGGAAACAAAGAAUGUCAUUGCAAGAUAUGGAGGGUUCCCGAAUGUCCCCUUAAUAGGAACACAUGGUUAGAUCAACUACAACCCCGUGCUUCUCAAGAGACAGUUAGGAUAUGCCAUGUUGAGUCUUCCCGAGCCUCAUAACUUUCAUCGUUAAUAACGUGGAUCCACUCGAUUCAAUCGUGAAGAGAGUAAGAAUAGCUUGGACAUGCAUAAUCUGAAUCGACCAAGAUUGGGGCAAGAAGAAUAUCCUAGCCAAGGAACCCUAGUUUGUAUGGGUAAAAGAGAGGGAUAUGGUUGUCAAGAUGCAAUUCAUUUUUGAGUCUUCAUCAUUUCCGUUGGUGCCCGAACCCGAGCCCAUAUUGCAAGAAGACGUGGAUAAGCUUAUCGACAAGAUACAAGAGCUUGAGUUGGAGAACACUCAAUUAUGAGUCCAACUUGGUCGUGCCAAGGAACGUAACUACACCUUGGAAGAUAAGGGUAAGAAAGUAUGUAAGGAUUUCACGGUCAAUAAGAAGAGACUAAGGGAAGUCGAAGGCCAAAAAAUUGGGGUUGGUGAUGCUCUACUAUGAGCUAAUUAUGAGCUAGACACUCGAACAACAUGUUGUUCAAGCGUACAGAACCAUUAGGGACCUUGAGAAGAUCGUUGAGAGGUCUAAUGCGAUGAAGAAAGAGGCUAGGGAGGAUUACGAAGCCCAAAUCUUAGAGCUUAGGACCACUCUAAAAGAGUGCAAGGAUGUCUUGGCUAAGGAACAACUAGAGAGGGACAAAAUCCACCGAAGAUUCUUGUGCGAAUGGUUCAACCUUAGAAGAACUUAUGAGCAAAUCAAGAAUCUGAAGAUGGGAAACUACGAUCAAGCAUACACGGAGUUGCAAAAUGAGUGCAAAUAUUGAAAUGGACGAUCAAAAAGACACAUAUUUCAGUCCAAAGGUUGCCUCCAUGCAUGAUACAUUUAGUCGCUUGACCAACGAGGUGGAGAAGAAGGUUAAAGCCAUCAAGGAGUAACUGAAGACAAUGGAAAGUACCGACACUUUAGGUAUCGAUGCUGUAAAUAUGUGCUUAGUCCCUGAAAUGGUUAUCCCCGCUAAAUUCAAAGUCCACGACUUUGAAAAAUAUAAAGGACCCAGUAAUCCGAGGACCCGUAUCCGAGCUUAUUGUCGUAAAAUGGCCGCUUAUUCUAAUGACGACAGACUCCUCAUGCAUUUCUUCCAAGAUUCAUUGAUUAGAUCAUCUUUGGAUUGGUACAUACAAUUGUAAGGUACCCACAUUUGGACGUGGAGGGAGAUAGAAGAAGUAUUCCUUAAUCAUUACCAGUAUGAUAUAGAUAUGGCGCCCAAUUGCACGUAGUUUCAAAACUUGACGUAAAAGUCCGAAGAGACUUUUAAGGAAUCCGCUCAACGGUGGAGAGAGCAUGCGGCUACGGUACAACCUCCUUUGCUAGAACGUGGAUUGGUAGAUAUGUUCAUGAGCAAUCUGCAAGGCCCUUACUUAGAUAGGAUGGUAGGGAGUACAUCCUCUAGUUUCUCCAACUUAGUUUUGGUCGGUGAAAUAUUUGAGAAUAUGAUGAAAAUGGGGAAGAUCCAGAACUCUACAAGCGCCUCCUGUGUUGUGAAAAAACCCUUUGUAUAUUAUAGAAAGAAAAGGGAAGGAGAAACAAAUGCAACCGCAUUAUUCAGAGCAAGAGCCCCAACAUACCGUGUCACAUAUCAACAAGUUGUCUCUGUAGCACCAUUUCAAUAACAACAACAACCAUUUACAAUUUCGAUCCAACAACAACCACAACAACAUCAACAACGUUAUCAUCAGCAACCUCAGCAACAACAACAAUGUUACCAACAACAACAGCAACAACAACAACAACAACGUCAAAGACGUCCUGAGAGAAGAUUUGAUCUAGUCCAAAUAUCGUACAGUCAUAUUCUACCUUACUUUUUAUGAGGAUCUUUGGUGGAGUUAAGGGAGUUAGGGCCACCCCAAGCGGUCCUUCCUCCGGUUUCUGAUGUCAACGCUUGGUGCGAGUUCCAUUCUGGCGCUCCCGGUCAUUCAAUCGAGAACUGUAAAUCCUUAAUGUAUAAAAUGCAAGAUUCGAUAGAUUCUAAGGCAUUGCGUUUGCGCCUAACAUCCCAAAUGUAAACAAUAACCCAAUUUUUCCUCACAAUAAGUCAACCGUGAAUAUGGUAGAAUAUGACAAUGGAAGAAGAUUAAUGUCCCGUGGGGACGAGUUAAAAACACCCCUCAUUGAGAUCAAGAAUGUUUUGAUGAAAAAUUAUGCAUUCCCCUUUUGUAUUAAUGAUUGUGAACAUCGUCUGAUUGAUCUGCAACAAUGUGCAACUUUGAAGUCUGCCAUACAACGAUUAAUGGACCAAGGAAUCUUGGUGGCAGAUCGUCCAUCCACCAAGGAAGAAGUGUCCACCCUAGAGAUCCCAUAUGAUGAAGUCUUACCUCUACAAAUACCUUAUGGUCUCUCUCAAAUGACUAUCUCCAACUACCCGAUUACUCAUAUGGUUAUAACGGUCCCCACUCCAUUCCCAUUCAAUGAUACAAAAGUAGUUCCAUGGGUAUAUGACUCAGUUGUUUACAUCUAUGGGCAAAGAGUCCGAGAAGAACCAACAAUGUCUGUUGAGCCAAUGGUAGGUACAGCUGGAACUGGUGGAGUCACCCAAAGUGGAAGGACCUUUGUUCCGAUAUCUCCCCCAAUUGACAAUCAUGGCACUUCCAACCAAGGAAAAGGCAAGCAAAUCGAAGUUGGCCAGCAAAGGCAAGAUUCUCUACCUACCAAUGAGGUGGAUGAAUUCUUGCACAUUAUUACGAGGAGUGAUUAUAGGGUGGUUAACCAACUCAACCAAACCCCAUAAAAAAUAACAAUGUUUUCUUUGCUCAUGUGCUCCGAGGCACAUAUGGGCUCCUUAGUCAAGUUCUUGAAAGCCACCCACAUAUUGCAAGAGAUUUUCGUUUGCCAAUUUGAGGGAGUUGUCAAUAAUAUAGUUACUAACAUGAGUCCAGGUCUCAGUGAUGAAGAGCUUCCCUCCGAAGGAAAAAACCAUAAUAAGGCCCUACACAUUUCUAUUAAAUGUGUAGACGUUGUUUUGUCUACGGUCUUAGUGGAUACCGACUUGUCUCUUAAGGUACUACCGAAGAGUUCUCUUUCUAAAAUGACUAUUGAAGGGCUCGUAAUGAAAUCGAGAAAGCUAUUUGUGAGAUAAUUUGAUGGAUCAGGAUAAAUUGUAAUUGGUAAAGUGGAUCUCCCCAUCAAUAUCAGCCUCAUACUUUCUUUAUCACUUUCUUCAUAGUGGAUAUAUAUCCAGCUUAGAGUUGUUUGCUCGGACGACUGUGGAUACAUUAAGCCGGAUAUGUCACUUUGACACUUCAUUAAAGGUUGAAUUUUUUGGUCAACAAAAAGCUCAUGGUAAUUGAAGGAGAGAAAUACAUCAUGGUGAGCCACUUGGAAUUGUUCCGAUAAGUUGAAGAAGGAUGAGAGGUUUAGGAAAUCCCAUUUCUUGAAGUUGUCAAUGUUGAGAUGGUUGGCCCUAUAGGGGGAGUUAAAACUAUUGAAUUUUCGAUGGCUUAUCUGAAAGACGCUCAGGCUGUUAUCAAUAAAGGACACCCCAAAGAUUGAGAGAGGAUAUUAGAAUUGUCGGUCAACAAGGAUUGUGUCAGAUUGGGAUACAACUCCCAAAACUUGAAGAAGCAAGUGCCAAUUGUUGUAGAGGGGCAAGUGCCCCCCUUGUCAGAUUUCUUCUCAAGUGAAGGACACCUCAUGGAUGGCCAUAUUUAUGCUCUGGAAGAGGAUGGUAUAGUUGAAGACGAAAUACUAAUUUACAAGAAGGUUGAUGGCCAAGAAUUGACCAAUUGGACUGGGUUUGAGUUACCCGAAGUCAGAAUGUUAGAAAAGUAAAUUUUCCUAUUUAAUGUUUUCCAUUUAAAGAAACAAAAGAACCCAUGCUAUACCCAUGAAAUGGGGGAACCAUGUGUAGGGCCUCCGUCAAAUUUUCUUUUAAUCAAUCAAUGAAAGUUGCACGCUUUGCAUCCAAAUUUUGCUCAUUGUAUUUCAUUUAUUUUUACUUUUUCACUUAAAUUAAAAAUGGCAAUGUUUUCUAACUUGUCUUUAAGUUUUCAUUCUUUUUUCUAAUUCUCAAAAUAAAAAGUAUUAAUUAUGAAUCAUGCAGAUCCCCCACCCCUCAACUUCCGCCAAUACCGACUCUGCUAUGGUCCCUUAUGACUUCUACAAUCCGAUCAAUCACGGUGACAAAGAGGGUGAGAAAGAUUGUGAACUCCCUGAGGAGUUAUCACGACUACUAAAACAAGAGUUAAAGGUAAUUCAACCACCUGGAGAGUCUGUAGGGGUGGUCAAUCUCAGAACUAAAGAGGAAGUCAAGGAAGUUAAGGAAGUCAUAUUAGGCUCAGCCCUACAAGAAGAUGUGAAGACAAAGUUGAUCAAACUCCUACAAGAGUACAUGGAUGUGUUUGCAUGGUCCUACCAAGACAUGUCAGACCUCAAUACCAAUAUCGUGGUCCAUCGUCUACCUCACGAAGAAGAUUGCCCUCCUCUGAAGCAAAGGCUAAUAAGGACCCGUCCUGAUAUGGAAAUGAAGAUCAAUGAGGAAGUACAAAAACAGGUUGAGCGGGAUUUCUUCCCGUAGCCAAUUACCCUCAGUGGAUAGCCAAUAUUGUACUUGUACCCAAAAAGGAUGGGAAGGGAUGUAUAUACACUACAAAGAUUUAAACAGAGAAAUCCCCAAAGACAACUUCCCACUGCCUCACAUUGAUAUGUUAGUCGAUAAUAUAGCUCAAUUCUUAGUAUUCUCGUUCAUUGAUGGCUUCUCCGGCUACAACCAAUCAGAAUGGCUUUCGAGGACAUGGAAAAGAAUACCUUCAUUACCCCAUGGGGUACUUUCUUCUACAGGGUUAUGCCCUUCAAACUAAAGAAUGCUAGUGCAACCUACCAACGAGCCAUGGUCACACUCUUUCAUGAAAUGAUUCAUAAAGAGAUCGAGGUCUACGUUGAUGAUAUGAUUGCCAAAUCACAAACCGAAAAGGAGCAUCUUGGAAACCUUGAGAAGCUAUUUGAAAGGCUGUAGAAAUUCAAGUUAAGGCUCAAUCCCAAUAAAUGCACGUUUGGGGUGAGAUCUGGCAAAUUGCUAGGUUUUAUCGUCAGCCAAGAUGGUAUUGAAGUGGAUCCUGAGAAGGUAAAGGCCAUACAAGUUAUGCCUGCGUCCAAAACUGAGACGGAAGACAGAGGAUGGCUAGGUAGAUUGAACUAUAUAGAUAGGUUCAUAUCUCACCUUAUGGCCACCUGUGAUCCAAUCUUCAAACUAUUUUGAAAGGAUCAAGUCGUCAUUUAGAAUGACAACUGCCAAAAUGCUUUCGAGAAGAUCAAGGAGUACCUAUAAGACCCUCUUAUUCUGAUGCCUCCGGUGCCUGGAAGACCUUUGGUCGUGUACCUUACACUCCUUGAGGGAUCCAUGGGAUAUGUCUUCGGCCAACGCGACGAGGCUGGAAGAAAAGAGCACGUCAUAUACUACUUGAACAAGAAGUUUACCGAUUGCGAGAAUAGGUAUUUGAUACUUGAAAAGACUUAUUGUGCACUUGCUUGGUUUGCCAAAUGCCUAAGACAAUACAUGCUCACACACAUUACACUAUUAAUAUCUAAGAUGGAUCUAGUCAAGUACAUCUUCGUGGAGCCUUCUCUAACCGAUAGAGUAGCCCAUUGGCAAAUGGCUUUAACCGAGUAUGACAUCCAACAUGUCACUCAAAAAUCUAUCAAAGGGAGUGUAUUGUCAGACUAUCUUGCACAUCAACCUUUUGAGGACUACCAGUCUAUGCGCUUUGAGUUCCCUGAUGAAGACAUUAGGCUCAUAAGGGAUUGCAACAUCCCCGACCCCAAGGAAGAACCAGAACCUGGAUCUCGGUGGACUCUUGUAUUUGAUGGAGCUUCUAAUGUGAAUGGCAAUGACAUUGGGGCAGCCAUCACCUUCCCAACUAGUUUUCACUUACCAUUCACCGCAAGGUUGUGCUUUGACUGUACCAAAAAUAUGGCAUAGUACGAGGCUUGGAUAUUCGGUAUUGAAGUUGUGAUUGAUCUUAGGAUCAAAAUUCUUGAAGUCUGUGGAGAUUCAGCCUUGGUCAUCAGCCAAGGCAAAGGAGAAUUAGACGCCCGAGAUCACAAGUUAAUCCCUUAUAAGGAGCAUGUCCUGAAGUUAAUCUCGUACUUUAACAAGAUUACAUUCCAUCACAUCCCUAUAGAGGAAAACCAAUUAGCCGACGCCUUGGCAACUCUAUCAUCCAUGUUUAAGGUCAAAUGGAAGAAUGAAGCACCAUCAUUUCACCUCGACUACUUGGACGAGCCUGCUUACUAUUUGGCGGCAAAAGACAAAGCUGAUGGCCACCCUUGGUUCUACGACAUCCUGAGGUUCCUAGAAAGCUAAUAAUAUCUAGGGAACAUAUCCAUCAUCGAUAAGAAGUACUUUUGAUAGUUUUCGUCCAAGUUCUUCUUAAGCGGAGGGGUAUUGUACAAAAGGAAUUAUGAUUCGGUGUUGCUCAAAUGUGUGAACAAGCAAGAAGCAACCCAAAUUAUAAUGGAAAUACAUGAAGGAUCCUUUGGGACGCAUGAUAGUGGACACAUAAUGGUGAAGAAAAACUUAUGGGCAUGCUAUUAUUGGAUGACCAUGGAGGUUGACUAGUACCGCCACGUCCAAACAUGCCUCAAGUGCUAAAUCUAUGCCGACAAGAUCCAUGUACCGCCAAUACCACUCAAUGUCCUAACAUCACCUUGGCCUUUCUCCAUGUGGGGCAUUGACGCGAUCGGACGCAUUGAGCCAACUACCUCAAACGGACAUCGCUUAAUCUUGGUAUCCAUAAACUAAUUCACUAAAUGGGUGGAAGCAGUCUCCUAUACCAACGUCAUAAGACAAUUGGUGGCUCGAUUCAUAAGGAAAUAAAUCAUUUGUCAUUAUGGGCUCCCCAACAAGAUCAUUACUGAUAAUGGAUCUAACUUCAAUAACAAAAUGAUGAAAGAGUUGGGCCAAAGCUUCAAAAUCGAGCAUCACAAUUUUUCGCCUUAUCGGUCGAAGAUGAAUGAUGUUGUUGAGGCAGCUAGCAAGAAUAUCAAGAAAAUCAUGCAAAAAAUGGUGGAACCAUACAAAUAUUGGCACGAGGUGCUCCCGUUCGCAUUGUAUGGCUACCGUAGCUUCGUACGUACCUCCACUAGGGAAACCCCCUCUCUCUCGUGUAUGGCAUAGAUACAUUCCUUCUUGUUGAAGUAGAGAUUCCUUCCUUAAUAAUUUUGAUCGACGUAAAUCUUGAUGAAGAAGACGAGUGGGUGAAAGCCCAAUUCGACCAACUGAACCUCAUUGAUGAGAAACAUUUGGCAGCCAUCUACCACGACCAACUAUACCAAAAGUGCAUCAAGAGGGCACAUGACAAAAAGGUCUUUCCUCGAAACCUCAAGGCUGGAGACCUAUUCUUGAAGAAGAUUCUACUAAUUCAUACUGACCCAAGGGGAAAAUGGAUGCCUAACUAUGAAGACCCAUACUUUGUAAAGAAUGUUUUCUCAUAAGGAGCCUUAAUCUUGGCAACUAUGGAUGGUGAAGAUAUUUCAUCUCCUGUAAAUGCGAAUGCAAUCAGAAAAUACUACGCUUAAAAAAAGAGAAAGAGAAAAUAGCCCGAUAAGUUGAAAACUUGAAAGGGCAACUUAUGCUAAAAUGGGUAUCACGGUAGCUGAAAACCCGAAAGGGUUGUCUAGGCAAAAAUUAGGGAUUCAUGAAAGCAAGAGGUUGCAUUCCGUAAAGAAUCUUCUACACUCCUCGAUGAGUCAAUCCAAUGACUUUCCUUCUGAAGCGAGAUCUGAGGACAUAAGGACUAUAGAGAAGUUAGAACUUGGUGGAAAUCCGAGCUAUUUCUAUUUUCA
rnacentral:lncRNA from 1 species